GCGGUAUCUUGACCGUGCGAAGGUAGCAUAAUCAUUUGUCUCCUAAAUAGAGACUAGUAUGAACGGCAAGACGGAGCUCUACUGUCUCCUUACCCCACUCUUGAAUUUCACUUCCCCGUGAAGAGGCGAGGAUUAUUUCGUCAGACGAGAAGACCCUGUCGAGCUUGUAACGAAGUAAAGAUUCUACCCCCCCCUAAUUUAACCCUCUAAUUACCAAAAACUUAAAACUAAAUUAGAAAAAGAAAUCUUCUACUAGCUUUGGUUGGGGCAACCGCGGAGGAAGCCAAACCUCCGCUACCAUAAUUUAAACAAAGAGAAAUACCUCUAAUAAUAAUCCAAAACAAUAAAUGAUCCACCCAGGUGAUCAAAAGAAAAAGUUACCGCAGGGAUAACAGCGUUAUCUUCUUUGAGAGUCCAUAUUGACAAGAAGGUUUGCGACCUCGAUGUUGGAUCGGGACAUCCCAGAGGUGCAGAAGCUUUUAA
rnacentral:rRNA from 1 species